CCUACGGGAGGCAGCAGUAGGGAAUAUUGCUCAAUGGGGGAAACCCUGAAGCAGCAACGCCGCGUGGAGGAUGAAGGUUUUCGGAUUGUAAACUUCUUUUGUCAGGGAAGAAGCAAGUGCCGUUACUUGACGAAUAAGCCACGGUUAAUUACGUCCCAGCAGCCGCGGGAAACCGUAGGUGCCAAGCGUUUUCCGGAUUUAUUGGGUGAAAAGGGCGUGUAGGCGGGAGUGCAAGUCAGAUGUGAAAACUGUGGGCUCAACCCCUGACCUGCAUUUGAAACUGUAGUUCUUGAGUGCCGGAGAGGCAGGCGGAAUUCCGAGUGUAGCGGUGAAAUGCGUAGAUAUACGGAGGAACACCAGUGGCGAAGGCGGAUUGCUGGACAGUAACUGACGCUGAGGCGCGAAAGCGUGGGGAGCAAACAGGAUUAGAUACCCCGGUAGUC
rnacentral:rRNA from 1 species